rnacentral:misc_RNA from 1 species
GGGCAAUACAGAAUAUUACAAAGCAAGGCUCAUAACCUAAUUAGAAAAAAAUGCCUUAUCUAAAAAAUCACUCAGUCUAAAACCGUAUAGCAAGAGUUCGAGUCCAAAACCAAGAGUUUGAGGCCCAAGUCACUGAAGUCUGAAACCCCAUAACAAGGUAGCUUCAACUCGUAGAUGCCGACUCAAUGGUAAGGAAGGACCUUUGCAGAAUUACACAAAAAGCAUCGACAUCAAUGCCAAUGAAACACAUAUAAGGGAAGCCUCUCCAUCGAGGGCAAAAAGUGCAAAUGACGUUCAUUGAGAUUUAGCCCUUGUAAUUAGUCCUCAUCCUAGGCCAUUUAUGCAGUCGAAGACAAGACCGAAGCACAGAGGAUCUACGGGUAGUGAGGCAGAGUUCUUAGGCACUCUCAAUCUCUUUUAGCCAUUGAGGAACUCAAUGCCCUACUGUUGACAUUAAUAGCGUUCUCAAAGGUACCCAAUCA